GAUGAACGCUGGCGGCGUGCCUAAUACAUGCAAGUCGAGCGGUAAGGCCCCUUCGGGGGUACACGAGCGGCGGACGGCUGAGUAACACGUAGGAACGUACCCCAAAGUGAGGGAUAAGCACCAGAAAUGGUGUCUAAUACCGCAUGUGCUCUAAGGAGUAAAGCUUCGGCGCUUUGGGAACGGCCUGCGCAUGAUUAGCUUGUUGGUGAGGUAAUGGCUCACCAAGGCGACGAUCAUUAGCUGGUCUGAGAGGAUGACCAGCCAGACUGGGACUGAGAGCGGCCCAGACUCCUACGGGAGGCAGCAGUGGGGAAUUUUGGACAAUGGGCGAAAGCCUGAUCCAGCAAUGCCGCGUGCAGGAAGAAGGCCUUCGGGUUGUAAACUGCUUUUGUACGGAGCGAAAAGGUUCUCUCUAAUACAGAGGGCUCAUGACGGUACCGUAAGAAUAAGCACCGGC
rnacentral:rRNA from 1 species